rnacentral:lncRNA from 1 species
UUCCGGAUAGCGGUGCUGUGUCUGGACUACCACGACAUGACCAGGAGGGCGGUGGUGCCCCUCGGGGUCUACCAGCUCUACACCAGGAUGUUGCAGCUCAAGGGCUUCAAAGUACUACAGAUACCGUACACCGAAUACAAUCCCAAGGACAAACUUGUAACCAGAGUGCAGUACAUAGAGAAGAAAUUAAAAAAUUUGAUCAAAUCAUAGUCGAGUCGAGUCCGGACAAUGUGUAUAGAACUGUACAAAUUAGUUAAUUAAUUACUAUUAUUUUAUUUUAUAUUGAGAUAUGAUGUGUGUCUGGGUGAUGAAGGAUAAACGCUUGUGCUACCAAUUUUUUUUUAAUGAAUGUUUACCUAUGCGCAUGUAAUUACAUACAUACAUAUAGUCACGUCUUGCGGGGUAGACAGAGCCAGCAGUUUUGAAGAGACUGUUAUUGUGAAAAAAUUGUGUGACUGUGUAAGUGUAUGUAAUUAUGUUAAACAAAUUGUGUUGAAAAAAAAA